rnacentral:rRNA from 1 species
CCUACGGGAGGCAGCAGUGGGGAAUAUUGCACAAUGGGGGAAACCCUGAUGCAGCGACGCCGCGUGAGUGAAGAAGUAAUUCGUUAUGUAAAGCUCUAUCAGCAGGGAAGAAAAUGACGGUACCUGAGUAAUACGCCCCGUCUCACUAUGUUACAGCAGCCGCGGGAAUACGUAGGGGGCAAGCGUUUGCCGGAUUUACUGGGGUGAAACGGUGCGUAGACGGGAGUGUAAUGCUGGAGUGAAAGGCGGGGGCUCAACCCCCGGACUGCUCUGGAAACUGUACGGCUGGAGUGCAGGAGAGGUGAGUGGAAUUCCUAGUGUAGCGGUGAAAUGCGUAGAUAUUAGGAGGAACACCAGCGGCGAAGGCAGCUUACUAAACUGGAACUGACAUUGAGGCUCGAAAGUGUGGGUAUCAAACAGGAUUAGAUACCCGGGUAGUC